rnacentral:rRNA from 1 species
GACGAACGCUGGCGGCGUGCCUAAUACAUGCAAGUUGAGCGAUGAAGAUUGGUGCUUGCACCAAUUUGAAGAGCAGCGAACGGGUGAGUAACGCGUGGGGAAUCUGCCUUUGAGCGGGGGACAACAUUUGGAAACGAAUGCUAAUACCGCAUAACAACUUUAAACAUAAGUUUUAAGUUUGAAAGAUGCAAUUGCAUCACUCAAAGAUGAUCCCGCGAUGUAUUAGCUAGUUGGUGAGGUAAAGGCUCACCAAGGCGAUGAUACAUAGCCGACCUGAGAGGGUGAUCGGCCACAUUGGGACUGAGACACGGCCCAAACUCCUACGGGAGGCAGCAGUAGGGAAUCUUCGGCAAUGGACGAAAGUCUGACCGAGCAACGCCGCGUGAGUGAAGAAGGUUUUCGGAUCGUAAAACUCUGUUGGUAGAGAAGAACGUUGGUGAGAGUGGAAAGCUCAUCAAGUGACGGUAACUACCCAGAAAGGGACGGCUAACUACGUG